CCCUGAGAUGGGGAACGAUAAAAAAACGGACGAACACAACAAAAUCUGUUGUUGUGUUCGUCCGUUUUUUUAUCGUUCUCCAUCUCAGGGUUU
rnacentral:pre_miRNA from 1 species